rnacentral:snRNA from 1 species
GGCUGUGAGGGUGAUCCAGCUGCGACAUCUAUCACCCCAUUGCUCGCCAGGGCUGAUUCGGCUGAUCUGGCUGGCUAGGCGGGUGUCCCUUUCCUUUCUCACUGCCCCCUGUGCAUCCCUCCCGAAGCUGCCCUCUUGGUCUAAGAGGACGACCUUCCCCAAUAGAGGAGGGCCGUUCUUAGGUCAACGGUAUACGAGUAACUGCAUAGCCCUGCUAGAACCUCCUAACAAGCUCUCGAGAGUUGCCUUGCUGGAGAAACUCAGCUGUUUUCCAGGACGCUGUGCUCGUGGCAGCUUGGCCCAG